UGAUUCUCCUGCCUCAGCCUCCCAAGUAGUUGGGAUCACAGGCAUGUGCCACCAUGCCAGCUACUUUUGUAUUUUUAGUAGAGACGGGGUUUCUUCAUGUUGGUCAGGCUGGUCUCGAACUCCCGACCUCAGGUGAUCUGCCUGCCUCAGCCUCACAGAGUGUCAGGAUUACAGGCGUAAGCCACCACACCGGGCCGGUUGAAAUUUAUCUUUAAAAUAGUGCACCUUUAAUCCUUUUUUUAUUUCUGUGUGUAUCUUAUAAUGUGCAUAUCAUGUUAGCUCAAGAUCAAGAGUUUAUGGACAAGCCAGGAGUGGUGGCUUAUGACUGUAAUCCCAGCAAUUUGGGAGGCCGAGGCAGGUGGAUCGCCUGAGGUUAGGAGUUCAAGACUAGCCUGGUCAUCAUGGUGAAACCCCGUCUCUACUAAAACUUUAAAACUUAGCUGGGCGUGGUGGCGGGCGUCUAUAAUACCAGUUACUUGGGAGGCUGAGGCAGGAUAAUUGCUUGAACCCAGGAGGUGGAGGUUGCAGUGAGCUGAGAUCGCACCAUUGCACUCCAGCCAAGGCAACAAGAGCAAAACUCCGUCUCAAAAAAAAAAAAAAAAAAAAAGUUUAUGAACCACUAGUUUAGACAAAGAAUAGUUGUACAGUUGUACAGAUGGAUAAGGAAGGAAAGAACAUUCCAGGCAAAGAGAAAAGGUUAUGCAAUGGCUGAAAUGUUUAACAAGGUAUUUGGAGACCUUGAGAUAGUUUGAAAUUAUGUAAUGUCUAAGAUGUGGGCCAAGAGAAAAUAAAGGAAAAUAUCACAGGAUAAUAGAGGAGUAAAGUAAACUAUGCUGUAUUAACUCCAUAUUAGGCAGCCAGUAAAAAUAAAUACAACCACCAAAAGUAACUCAGAAAUAUGUUUAGGAAACAAUACUAAUUGAAAAAUAUAGAACUUCAGGUUGUAUAUCUACCAUAUUUCCAAUCUGUAAAAUAUAAGUACAUUUGGAUCAAGAUUGGAAAGGAAGACAAAUUAGAAUAACUCGUCAAUAACAUAUUUAAAUAUAAAUGAAAAUAUUUAAAUGUCUUUGCUUAGUAUUUUUAUAAUAAAUUUCUAUUUUUUUACUUUUAUUUAUCUUUUAAUCUCACUGUUAUCCAGGAUGGAGUGCAGUAGCACAGUCAUAGCUCACUAUGGCCUUGAACUUCUGGGCUCAAGCAGUCCUCCCACCUCAGCCUCCUAAGUAGCUGGGAUUACAGGUGUAAGCCACUGUACCCCACCUCUGUGUUUGAUUUUAAGGGGAAUUGGCCCAAAAAAUAACAUUUAUAUUAUUUCUUCACUAUGAUUCACAUGUCCCUCAGAAGCCUCUAAUUACAAUGGAAUUCUUAAAAAAAAUUCACAUUUCUCAGCAAAGCUUUCCAACGAAAAUUUUUAUGAUAAUCCUUUGUCAUAUAAGUUAAAAUAGUAAAACUAGACAAUAGUGAGUAAGUAUUAUAUUUGAGACACCUGCUAGGCAUCUGAUAUAAGGUGGAUGAGAGGAUCAGUGUCCUUUGGGAGUUUACCCUCUAGGGAAGCAACUACAUGAAAAGUUAAAUAAAUUAUAAAAAUCACAUUUUGAAUUGAUAAAAGUUAUGAGACAGAACAUAAUUUGGUUUUUAUUUAUUUUUUUGAGACAGGGUCUCACUUUGUCCUCCAGGCUGGAGUGCUGCGGCCUCAACCUCCCAGGUUCAAGGGAUCCUGCUGCCUCAGCCCCCCAAGUAGCUAGGACUACAAGGGUGCACCACCACACCCAGCUAAUUUUUGUAUUUUUUGUAUAAAUGGGGUUUCGCCAUGUUGCCCAGACUGGUCUCAAACUCCUGGGCUCAAAAUCUGCGUGCCAUGGCUUCUCAAAACGCUAGGAUUACUGGCGUGAGUCACCAUGCCUGGCCUAUAAUUUGUUAAUAUGGUUGUUACUACAAAGUUUAAAAUAAAUUGCCCAUGCAUUCCUAUUUAUAAUAGGUGAGUGGAGGACACUUCAAUCUAAAGUGAUCUUAAAGGAGGAGUAGUAGGAUUUGAAGAUGAAGAAAGAAGAGGGGAGGUAAAUUACUUUCCAUCACUUCAAUUUCAACCCAUCAGAUAAAACCUCUCUUUAGUAAACCUGCAUGUGGGUGGAGCUGUAACAGCAAUUAAGGACAGUGUGACUCUGUUCUUCUGACUUUGGGAAAACCAGUUUGGCUGGAACAAAAAGCUGAUAGAGAAGACUAAUGGAAGAUAAGGUUGAAAAGGUAGGUUUGAGGGAGCUUUGUUACAGGAAAAAAAAAAAAAAAAAACUGGGCUUUGUCCUGUAGACAGUGGAGAGGUACUUUAGCAGAUGUAAGACAUUACCAUUAUAGGAAAGCCUCUGAAGUAACAUACACUGUGGUUUUUCCUGUUGCUGAAAAUAUGCCCAGAGUAACAAGAUGUGGCAUAGUUGGUUAUGUGUCUUAUAACCAGUGAGGUGUGCCCAAAUGGGAAAUUAAUGAAUGACUACCCAAAAAGAAGAGGGAGAGUGUUUGAAACACUGUCACUGUGAAAUAGACUGGUUGUAUGAAAAGUUGCAUAUCAAGCCUUUGGCAAAUUAUAUAAAUACUCUGAUUUUGACAUCUUAAAGGAGUAUACUAUAGAAAAUAAAAGAAAAACACUUGAAUCUGUUACAGGAAACGGGUCAUGAUCCAGACCCCAGGAGAGGGUUCUUGGAUCUCACACAAGAAAGAAUUCAGGGUGACCCCACAGUGCAAAAGUCAAAGCAAGUAUUAAGAAAAUGAAGGAAUAACAGAAUGGCUACUACAUAGAGCAGCCCUGAGGGCUGCUGGUUGCCCUUUUUUUUUUUUCCUUUGAGAUGGAGUUUUCGUUCUUGUUGCCCAGGCUGGAGUGCAAUGGCGUGAUCUCGGCUCACCACAACCUCCACCUCCCAGGUUCAAGCAAUUCUGCCUCAGCCUCCCGAGUAGCUGAGAUUACAGGCAUGCGCCACCACGCCCGGCUAAUUUUGUGUUUUUAGUAGAGUGAGGGUUUCUCCAUGUUGGUCAGGUUGGUCUUGAACUUCCGACCUCAGUUGAUCUGCCCGCCUUGGCCUCCCAAAGUACUGGGAUUACAGGCAUAAGCCACCGCACCUGGCCUGGUUGCCCAUUCUUUAUGGUCGUUUCUUGAUGAUAUGCUAACCAAGGAGUGGAUUAAUCAUGCCUCCCCUUUUUGGACCACAUAGGGUCUAAACUGUCAUGGCACAUUUGUAAACUGUCAUGGCACUGGUGGGAGUGUAGCAGUGAGGACGACCAGAGGUCACUCUCGUCGCCAUUUUGGUUUUGGUGGGUUUUGGCCAGCUCCUUUACUGCAACCUGUUUUAUCAGCAAGGUCUUUAAGACCUGUAUUUUGUGCUGACCUCCUAUCUCAUCCUGUGACUUAGAAUGCCUUAACUGACCAUCUGGGAAUGCAGCCCAAUAGAUUUCACCCUCAUUUUGCCCGGCUCCUGUUUAAGAUGGAGUUGCUCUGGUUCACAUGCCUCUAACAAAUCCUUUUAGUUUUUCAUGCUUGUCACAUGUUUACUUCUAAGGGUAUAAUCAUGUGGUUUACUAUAUUAUUACCGAUUAGAUUAUUUUGAACUACUUCAAUUUUAUUUAUUUUACCUCAUUUCCAUUCACAUUUUUUGAAAAGAGCUUUUUUAUACAAGAGUGUAAAUAUUUUCACAUUGAAUAAAUGAAUUGAAAACAGUAUGUGUUGAUUGAAUACUUGAAGUAUACUUCUUUACAGCAAAUUCUAGGAAUUCAGCUUUGUUUUAUGUGCAUUAAAAUGUAAUAAAUAUAGGCCUGAGAAAUUCUCAGAACAAAUAUUUUAGGCCCUCAGUAGCUGUAAAUCGGGAACGGUCAGAUUUCCUUCACAUGGAAAUGGGACUCACAUCUCUCAGAAUGGAACAGAAGUCUUUUGGUCUUUAAUCUAUGUCAUGUUGAUGGGAAAUGUGAAAGCUACAAGAAAAUUGGUAUUUGGUUUCUUGGAUAUUGAAUAUCCUUGGCCAGGGGUGCAGGGAAGUGAAAAAAAAGUAAGACCUCCUAUGGAUCAUCCAAAAAGGAAUUUCAGAAUGCAGAGAGGACUGGUCUCCCUUAAUCAGGCCAAAACUUUAUUUGAAUUGUAUCAGGAUGCUUCAUUCCUGUGCCCUGUAGGAUGGAAUCUUGAAAGAAAAUGGGAAGGAAUGUACAAAGCCUCAAGGAAUGUGUUUCUCUGUAACAUCUAGAUCAGACAGUAGUAUGAAGUGCCAGAUAU
rnacentral:lncRNA from 1 species